AACGAACGCUGGCGGCAUGCCUAACACAUGCAAGUCGAACGAGACCUUCGGGUCUAGUGGCGCACGGGUGCGUAACGCGUGGGAACCUGCCCUUAGGUUCGGAAUAACUCCCCGAAAGGGGUGCUAAUACCGGAUAAUGUCUUCGGACCAAAGAUUUAUCGCCUUUGGAUGGGCCCGCGUUGGAUUAGCUAGUUGGUAGGGUAAAAGCCUACCAAGGCGACGAUCCAUAGCUGGUCUGAGAGGAUGAUCAGCCACACUGGGACUGAGACACGGCCCAGACUCCUACGGGAGGCAGCAGGGGGGAAUAUUGGAAAAUGGGCGGAAGCCUGAUCCAGCAAUGACGCGUGAGUGAUGAAAGCCUUAGGGUUGUAAAGCUCUUUUAACCGGGAUGAUAAUGACAGUACCGGGAGAAUAAGCUCCGGCUAACUCCGUG
rnacentral:rRNA from 1 species